rnacentral:rRNA from 1 species
ACGAAGUUGGAUUCGCUAGUAAUCGCGCAUCAGCCAUGGCGCGGUGAAUACGUUCCCGGGCCUUGUACACACCGCCCGUCACACCAUGGGAGCCGGUAAUACCCGAAGUCAGUAGUCUAACCGCAAGGAGGACGCUGCCGAAGGUAGGAUUGGCGACUGGGGUGAAGUCGUAACAAGGUACC